GGCUCGCCGCGCGGGGUAACUCGAGGUCAGACGCCGCGCUCUGCGCGCCUGCGCACCGCUCUCUGCCCACCGGGGCUAGGUCCGGCGAGCGUUUAUUUUUGUGGUUUCGGUUCCGCUCUGAACUGACGGGUGUGGGCUUUGCGGACGUGCUCCAACUUCUGGGCCGGGCGGGACUGGGCACAGUCGCAGGCCCCCUCGACUCUCCUGCGUGCGCCACGCCAUCACCUUCCUUCUUCCCCCGGCCUGUGGGCCUCAGGCUCCCACCUCUCCCACUGCUGGCCUCCGUUCAGCUCUGCCCACAUCCCCUGGAAAGGAGCGGGGCAGGGGUGGGGCGCAGAGCUCGGGGCUUGCACACGGAGCCCACGCGCGUGGGAAGGCCACGUGGGCUCAAACUUAACGCUCCCACUACUGCCAGGGGGCCGCGCCUAACGACCGGGUUUCAAACCAGAGGCAGCAUGUUUUCUGUUUGUUUCUUCUCUAACCAAGGCUGCCGCGCUCUCGGGGUUACUGCCGGGCACCGCGAGGCUGGGCGUGCGCCGGCAGCUGCGGCUUGCUCGCCUUCGGAAACCAGCCCCGCAGCAAGGCUUUGACCCUCCUGGCGAGGGAUUGUUGUGGUAUUCCGUACUUGGUUAAAAGGAAUCUGCCAAUGCCGUUUGAAAGAAAUGGAAAUAAGAGGAAGGACCUGACACACUAUAAAAUUCAAUAAAUAUGAGCUGUAAUAAUAAUUAUAAAUGGCCAUCCUCUCCCUGACCUCCAGAUAAAUAUCUCUGCACCACCCAAAAUCUCCCUACCCCCCAUAAGCCCAGUUUUGGAAAGCUCCAAGCAGAAGGCCUUACCUAGCCUGUUUUUACUUCUUCCAUAGGCAGGCUGUGUGACCUUGUGCUAUAGACUCAACUCUCUCUGCCUGGGUUUCUUUCUCAGGUUGUAUCCCUGGGAUAAAGAAUGGAAGUGGGUUGAGGGGGUCCUGCUCUCCUGUGUGGUGCUCAGAUCCCACCUGCAAGGCUGGGUUCUGGUCUGAACACCAUGUAUGAAGACAUGGACACUUCUGGGUGUUGUCCAAGAUGAGCUGCCCUUGGCUUCUCUGACCUUUGCCACCGAUGUUGGAGACUUCAGAUUCCUGAGGCUGUAGUGAAAGCUGGAGCGGAAUGUCGUCGGUUUCCUGUUUCCCACUCCCAUGAGUGAGAAUGAGUUUAAAUUUAAUUUCUAAAUUUCUAAAAAGUCAUUAAGAAGGAUCGCUUUACAUCUUUAGCAACGCCUUUGAUGGCAGAAGCAGUGGCCUGUAUGAGUUCAGGUAGGUGUUUUAAACGGUUGUGGGCUGGACAGAACUUAAUGGAUUUGUCUGCAUUGUGGAAAAAGAAGAGGACAAAGAAUUUGGGUCUCAGGCUACUGGGAAGUGAAAGCUCAAGUACAGAAGAUGCCUUGGUCUGGAUGUGUGUGUCCUCCUAAAAUUCCUGUGUUGAAACUUAAUCCCCAGUGCAGUAGUAAAUUAAGAGGUGGGGCCCUUAGAAGGAGGUUGUCGGUUGUGGGGAGCAACUUGGACUAGACUAAGUUACUGGAAUUAAGACUUAUUCUAUGCAUCUGCUCUCCCACAAUAUGGCGCUGGGAGAGGAGUAAACAGCUUCUACGCAGCUGCCUCUCGCCAACUUGAGUGAUGACCUGCAGGAGCUGAUCCUGCUCCUGAUUGGAGGAGAGCAGCGUACUUGGCGUGUGGGUAGCAGAGUUGGGAUUGGUGGAAGAGGACUAUAAAGGAGGAGAGAGACAACAUGCACCAGGAACAUCUAAGGGGAGCACUUGAGGAACAUCUGAGCAGCCCCCAAGAGAGCCGGCCGGCGGUGUGCAGCUCCCCCGCGGAAGUGGGGAAAGUGGCAGGGGGGCCCGCCCCUCCACGGAGGUGGAGGGACAGCAGCCAACCCGGGAAGAACCAGCAGCAAACCCGGGGAGGGCCGAGCAGAUAAAAGAACAGCGCAGGGUCCUGUGUUGUUCUUCCGCGAAGAGGGGGAGCGACAGUCGGUGAUGGGAUUAGUGCCCUUAGAAAGAGGCCUGGGAAACCCAUUAGCCCUUUCUGCCCUGAGGCCACACGGGAGGCACUUUGUGUGACACAGGGAGUUCACAGCUGCUCUUGCCUCGGUCUUGGACCUCACAGACCCCAGAACUGUAAGCAAUAAACUUCUGUAGUUUAUAAAUGACCUGUGCUUGGGCUCAGAGCCCAGGAUGUAGAUCUGGUCAAAGGCCUUAUAAAAAAAUGGGGAGAUCGAUGAUGGAUUUCAAAUCGAGUUGUUGUAAUGCAGACUCUCCCUUUCCUGAGAGGUUCAGUAAAGGUUGCAACACGUGUGAAUUACUUGAUUAGUUUUGUCCGUAUUAAUUAGAAUAAAUAUCUAAGAGACACCAUAUGGAGAACAGCAAAAGAAUCCCCAAACAGUAUGUCUGAAGAAGCUGGUAUUCAGAGCUUGAGCUCAUCAAGAAGUAUAAAGCACUCUUUGAGAUUCAAAGAACUUGUGUGGAGAUUGGUAGGCUUUCCAUAAUUCAUAGAAAGGGAGGUCUAAACCACUUAUCUCCAUCUCAAGAGUCAACAUCACUCCACUGACAUCUGAAUUUCAGAUAAAGAACCGAACAUAGAGCAUGUACUUUUAAAAAAAAAAGAUUUAUUUAUUUGAAAGUCGGUGUUACACAGAGAGAAGGAGAGGCAGAGAGAGAGAGGUCUUCCAUUCUCUGGUUCACUCCCCAAAUGGCUGCAAUGGCUGGAGCUGCACCAAUCCAAAGCCAGGAGCCAGGAGCUUCUUCCAGGUCUCUCACAUGAGUGCAGGGGCACAAGGACUUGGGCCAUCUUCUACUGCUUUCCCAGGCCAUAACAGAGAGCUGGAUCAGAAGUGGAGCAGCUGGGACUUGAACUGGCACCCAUAUGGGAUGCCAGCAUUGCAGGCAGCAGCUUUACCCACUAAGCCACAGCACUGGCCCCAACCUAUUUUAAAGAUGCAUCCCCUGGGUGAAGGAGCAUAUCUGGUGUGGCUUAGGAAGACCCUUCUUGGGCUGUUUGUUCCCUAAGCUGGAAAUUCUGUAGAGGAGAGAGCCACGUGUAGUAAGUGAUUGCUCUCUUG